AUUGAACGCUGGCGGCAGGCCUAACACAUGCAAGUCGAACGAGUGGCGGACGGGUGAGUAAUGUCUGGGAAACUGCCCGAUGGAGGGGGAUAACUACUGAAAACGGUAGCUAAUACCGCAUACCAUCGGAUGUGCCCAGAUGGGAUUAGCUAGUAGGUGGGGUAACGGCUCACCGAGGCGACGAUCCCUAGCUGGUCUGAGAGGAUGACCAGCAAAACUGGAACUGAGAAACGGUCCAGACUCCUACGGGAGGCAGCAGUAGGGAAUCUUGGACAAUGGGCGCAAGCCUGAUGCAGCCAUGCCGCGUGAAUGAAGAAGGCUUUCGGGUUGUAAAGUACUUUCAGCGGGGAGGCGUUACCCGCAGAGGAAGCAACGGCUAACUCCGUGCCAGCAGCCGCGGUAAUUC
rnacentral:rRNA from 1 species